rnacentral:rRNA from 1 species
CAGCAGCCGCGGUAAUACGAAGGGUGCAAGCGUUAAUCGGAAUUACUGGGCGUAAAGCGUGCGUAGGCGGUUUGUUAAGUUGGAUGUGAAAUCCCCGGGCUCAACCUGGGAACUGCAUUCAAAACUGACUGACUAGAGUAUGGUAGAGGGUGGUGGAAUUUCCUGUGUAGCGGUGAAAUGCGUAGAUAUAGGAAGGAACACCAGUGGCGAAGGCGACCACCUGGACUAAUACUGACACUGAGGUGCGAAAGCGUGGGGAGCAAACAGGAUUAGAUACCCCCGUAGUCCCUGUCUCUUAUAC